CUCCCGAAUUAAUUUACUCGAAAAGUAAGUUUCUCCAUUUACAAACGUCGUGAUCUGGUUUAUAUGACGCCGGUAUAUAUGUGGUAUGGUAUACACCUUGAGCUUUGUAAACCCUGACUUUGUGUCACCGAUGUCCAUAAUUAUAGGUGCUUUAUUUGUUGAGAAUGAAAUUUGCCUCGUGUUCUCAUAAACUUGGAAAUCUUUCAAAACAAACAUUUUAUCAUAAUCAC
rnacentral:lncRNA from 1 species